rnacentral:tRNA from 1 species
GGUGGGUUGGCUCAGUGGUUAGAGCGUAGCACUCGUAACCGAAAGGUCGCGGGAUCGAAUCCCGCUAGAGGCUG